rnacentral:tRNA from 1 species
UGCCCAAUGCGGGAAUCGAACCCGGGUCCUAGUGGUCGAAAACCAAACGGUUUACCCAGCCUUCCACCGACCCAUUUUGUGAUCUAUGAGGC